rnacentral:lncRNA from 1 species
AGCUCCAGUAUCACAGGCAGAGCAAUGGAGGAUGGAUUUGGAGCUGCAAGGCAAUAAACUGGUAACUGAACAAAACCAGUCCAAGAAGAUUGUAUAUAAGAGACACCUGAUAAUUUCAAAAUCCUAGGCCCACUUCCUGAGCUGAGCAAGCAUGCAACCUCAAAGAGAAAAGUUUGAGGAAAUCACUUCAAGGACAAAAAAUUGCAAUGUAAAGAGAAUUAUUUAUCUCCAAAUUCCAGAUUACCCCCCUGCCCAACCCCUGCCAGCAGCACCGUCCACAUGGUUUCUCAUUUAGUUUUGUGUUAGUUUAACAAAGUAGACUCUGCAAUCUGGAUAAAAUAGUAAGUCACCUCAGGUAGGUGCCAAUAGGAUGCUCCUUUGGACAUUGCAGAUUUUAAGUACUGUCUUUUUAUAAUACAGGAGGCAUGUACAAGUCUGUCAUAUGUGGAAAUGUUGUGAACCCAUCAUAUAUACAAUGUGCUGUUUUAGAAGAUAGAUUGUCCAUUUAGGUGUGUUAUAACAACCUAGAUGGGAAGUUACUUUCCGGUGUGUUCAAAGUUCCUUAUCUGAUUCUGCAGAGGCUGGGAUCUGAGCAGGUCACUCUAUCUCUGGAGGCCUGUUACUUGAUGAUAAAUACUAAUAAACAUCUCCCGUCAGACAUCUCA